rnacentral:rRNA from 1 species
UAAACCUGGUUGAUCCUGCCAGUAGUCAUAUGCUUGUCUCAAAGAUUAAGCCAUGCAUGUCUAAGUAUAAGCAAUUAUACCGUGAAACUGCGAAUGGCUCAUUAAAUCAGUUAUCGUUUAUUUGAUAGUACCUUACUACUUGGAUAACCGUGGUAAUUCUAGAGCUAAUACAUGCUUAAAACCCCGACUUCGGA